rnacentral:rRNA from 1 species
UGAGUGCGAGCUGCUACGGCAGCGAAGUUGGUGAUGUCAUGCUUCCAAGAAAAGCCCUAUACCCGUUAAGGCAUCAUGGCCUGUACCCGAAACCGACACAGGUGGGGUGGUAGAGAAUACCGAGGGGCGCGAGGUAACUCUCUCUAAGGAACUCGGCAAAAUGGCCCCGUAACUUCGGGAGAAGGGGUGCCACCGCAAGGUGGUCGCAGUGAAGAGGCCCAGGCGACUGUUUACCAAAAACACAGGUCUCCGCUAAGUCGCAAGACGAUGUAUGGGGGCUGACGCCUGCCCAGUGCCGGAAGGUUAAGGAAGCUGGUCAGCGCAAGCGAAGCUAGCGACUGAAGCCCCGGUGAACGGCGGCCGUAACAAUAACGGUCCUAAGGUAGCGAAAUUCCUUGUCGGGUAAGUUCCGACCCGCACGAAAGGCGUAACGAUCUGGGCGCUGUCUCGGAGAGAGGCUCGGCGAAAUAGAAUUGUCUGUGAAGAUGCGGACUACGUGCACCCGGACAGAAAGACCCUAUGAAGCUUUACUGUAGCUUGGUAUUGUGCCCGGGCUCGCAAUGCGCAGGAUAGGUGGGAGGCUUUGAUCAUCGGCUUGCGGGUCGAUGUGAGCCAACGGUGAGAUACCACUCUUUGCGAGCUAGGGUUCUAACGGCCACCCGUCAUCCGGGGGCCGGACAGUACCUGGUGGGCAGUUUGACUGGGGCGUUCGCCUCCUAAAAGGUAACGGAGGCGCGCAAAGGUUUGCUCAGGCUGGUUGGAAAUCAGCCGACGAGUGUAAAAGCAGAAGCAAGCUUGACUGUGAGACCAACAAGUCGAACAGGGAGGAAACUCGGCUUUAGUGAUCCGACGGUUCUGAGUGGAAGGGCCGUCGCUCAACGGAUAAAAGUUACUCUAAGGAUAACAGGCUGAUCUCCCCCAAGAGUUCACAUCGACGGGGAGGUUUGGCACCUCGAUGUCGGCUCAUCGCAACCUGGGGCUGAAGUCGGUCCCAAGGGUUGGGCUGUUCGCCCAUUAAAGCGGUACGCGAGCUGGGUUCAGAACGUCGUGAGACAGUUCGGUCCAUAUCCGGUGCACGCGCAGGAAUAUUGAGAGGAUUUCUCCCUAGUACGAGAGGACCGGGAGGAACGCACCUCUGGUGUACCAGUUAUCGUGCCAACGGUAAACGCUGGGUAGCCAUGUGCGGAGUGGAUAACCGCUGAAAGCAUCUAAGUGGGAAGCCCACCUCAAGAUGAGUAUUCCCAUGGCGUAAGCCAGUAAGGUCACGGGAAGAACACCCGUUGAUAGGCUCUAUGUGGAAGCGCAGUAAUGCGUGAAGCAGAGGAGUACUAAUAGACCGAGGGCUUGACC